ensembl:snRNA U6 U6 spliceosomal RNA
GUAGAUGGCAGCACAUACACUAAAAUUGAAACAAUAUAGAGAAGAUCAGCAUGAUCCCUACACAUGGGUGACACACAAAUUUGUGAGGAGUUCUAUAUUUCU